UCCACGCCGUAAACGAUGUCUAUUUGGAGGUUGUGCCCUUGAGGCGUGGCUUCCGGAGCUAACGCGUUAAAUAGACCGCCUGGGGAGUACGGCCGCAAGGUUAAAACUCAAAUGAAUUGACGGGGGCACGCACAAGCGGUGGAGCAUGUGGAUUAAUUCGAUGCAACGCGAAGAACCUUACCUGGGCUUGACAUGUUCCCGACGAUCCCAGAGAUGGGGUUUCCCUUCGGGGCGGGUUCACAGGUGGUGCAUGGUCGUCGUCAGCUCGUGUCGUGAGAUGUUGGGUUAAGUCCCGCAACGAGCGCAACCCUCGCCCCGUGUUGCCAGCGGAUUAUGCCGGGAACUCACGGGGGACCGCCGGGGUUAACUCGGAGGAAGGUGGGGAUGACGUCAGAUCAUCAUGCCCCUUACGUCCAGGGCUUCACGCAUGCUACAAUGGCCGGUACAACGGGAUGCGACAGCGCGAGCUGGAGCGGAUCCCUGAAAACCGGUCUCAGUUCGGAUCGCAGUCUGCAACUCGACUGCGUGAAGGCGGAGUCGCUAGUAAUCGCGAAUCAGCAACGUCGCGGUGAAUGCGUUCCCGGGCCUUGUACACACCGCCCGUCAAGUCAUGAAAGUGGGCAGCACCCGAAGCCGGUGGCCUAACCCCUUGCGGGAGGGAGCCGUCUAAGGUGAGGCUCGUGAUUGGGACUAAGUCGUAACAAGGUAGCCGUAGCGGAAGGUGCGGCUG
rnacentral:rRNA from 1 species